CGGAGGGUGCAAGCGUUAUCCGGAUUCACUGGGUUUAAAGGGUGCGUAGGUGGGCAGGUAAGUCAGUGGUGAAAUCUCCGGGCUUAACCCGGAAACUGCCAUUGAUACUAUCUGUCUUGAAUACCCUGGAGGUGAGCGGAAUAUGUCAUGUAGCGGUGAAAUGCUUAGAUAUGACAUAGAACACCCAUUGCGAAGGCAGCUCACUACGGGAAUAUUGACACUGAGGCACGAAAGCGUGGGGAUCAAACAGGAUUAGAUACCCUGGUAGUCCACGCCCUAAACUAUGGAUACUCGACAUCAGCGAUAAACUGUUGGUGUCUGAGCGGAAGCAUUAAGUAUCCCACCUGGGAAGUACGAUCGCAAGAUUG
rnacentral:rRNA from 1 species